AGAGUUUGAUCCUGGCUCAGGACGAACGCUGGCGGCGUGCCUAAAACAUGCAAGUCGAACGGUGGUAGCAAUACCACAGUGGCGAACGGCGGAGUAAUACGUGAACAACGUGCCCUAAAGACUGGGAUAGUCACUGGAAACGGUGGGUAAUACCGGAUGUGGCAGGAUCAGCACAUGCUGGAUCUGUUAAAUGGUUUUUCGCUUUAGGAGCGGUUCACGGCCUAUCAGGUAGUUGGUGGGGUAAUGGCCUACCAAGCCGACGACGGGUAGCGGGUCUGAGAGGAUGGUCCGCUCGAGUGGGACUGAGACACGGCCCACACACCUACGGGUGGCAGCAGUUGGGAAUCUUGCACAAUGGGGGAAACCCUGAUGCAGCGACGCCGCGUGGAGGAUGAAGGGUCUAGGCUCGUAAACUCCUUUUACCAGGAAAGACUUAGGACGGUACCUGGUGAAUAAGCCCCGGCUAACUACGUGCCAGCAGCCGCGGUAAGACGUAGGGGGCAAGCGUUGUCCGGAUUUACUGGGCGUAAAGAGCGCGUAGGCGGUCUGUUAAGUGUAGAGUGAAAGCUCCGGGCUCAACCCGGAAACCGCUCUGCAUACUGGCAGACUUGAGGGACGCAGAGGUCUGUGGAAUUCCUGGUGUAACGGUGAAAUGUGUUGAUAUCAGGAGGAACACCCAUGGCGAAGGCAGCAGACUGGGCGUUUCCUGACGCUGAGGCGCGAAAGCGUGGGUAGCAAACAGGAUUAGAUACCCUAGUAGUCC
rnacentral:rRNA from 1 species